GAUGAAGAACGCAGUGAAAUGCGAUAAGUAAUGCGAAUUGCAGAAUUUCCGUGAGUCAUCGAAUCUUUGAACGCACAUUGCGCCCACUGGUAUUCCGGUGGGCAUGCCUGUUCGAGCGUCAUUAUCCUCCCUCAAAACUCCUGUUUUGGUGUUGGGCCGCGUUGGUCACCUCCGACCAACGGGCCUCAAAGACAAUGACGGCGUCCGUGGGACCCUCUUCGCAGUGAGCUUUUGUUAGCGCGCGUUGAGUUUAAAGGACCCCCCGGGCCGGCCACCUUUAUCUAUUUUACAAGGUUGACCUCGGAUCAGGUAGGAAUACCCGCUGAACUUAAGCAUAUCAAUAAGCGGAGGA
rnacentral:misc_RNA from 1 species